GGCAGCCCCCAUCAGUACCACAUACAGGCUGCCCCCAUCGGGACCACAUACAGGCCGCCCCCAUCGGGACCACAUACAGGCCGCCCCCAUCGGGACCACAUACAGGCCGCCCCCAUCGGGACCACAUACAGGCUGUCCCCAUCGGGACCACAUACAGACCGCCACAAUCAGGACCACAUACAGGCCGCCCCCAUCGGUACCACAUACAGGCAGCCACCAUCAGUACCACAUACAGACAGCCCCCAUCAGUACCACAUACAGGCAGCCCCCAUUAGUACCACAUACAGGUCCCCCAUCAGUACCACAUACAGGCUGCCCCCAUCGGGACCACAUACAGGCCGCCCCCAUCGGGACCACAUACAGGCCGCCCCCAUCGGGACCACAUACAGACCGCCACAAUCAGGACCACAUACAGGCCGCCCCCAUCGGUACCACAUACAGGCAGCCACCAUCAGUACCACAUACAGACAGCCCCCAUCAGUACCACAUACAGGCAGCCCCCAUUAGUACCACAUACAGGUCCCCCAUCAGUACCACAUACAGGCAGCCACCAUCA